CAAGGACUUGCACAAAAGGCAGAGAUUUUAAAAAAACAUUUUUGUUACUAUGCUGCAAGCUCCUUUCACUGAGUGUCCCAGUCUAACCUCAUCAACAGUGCUAAACUGGGAGCUUCUAAUGAAUACAACUUCCAGUACUGCUGAGUAUUUCUACUAUACUCCACGACAUGGAUUAAAAUGACCCGCAGCCACCAAUCAGAAGCUAGCUCUCAGUAGUGCAUUGCUGUUCCUGAGCCAACCUAGGUAUGCUUUUCAACAAAGGAUACUAAGAGA